UACAGAGGAUGCAAGCGUUAUCCGGAAUGAUUGGGCGUAAAGCGUCUGUAGGUGGCUUUUUAAGUCCGCCGUCAAAUCCCAGGGCUCAACUCUGGACAGGCGGUGGAAACUACCAAGCUGGAGUACGGUAGGGGCAGAGGGAAUUUCCGGUGGAGCGGUGAAAUUCGUAGAUAUUCGGAAGAACACCAGUGGCGAAGGCGGCUCACUGGCCCGGUACUGACGCUGAAAUACGAAAGCGUGGGGAGCAAACAGG
rnacentral:rRNA from 1 species